rnacentral:rRNA from 1 species
CCUACGGGAGGCAGCAGUGGGGAAUAUUGCACAAUGGGGGAAACCCUGAUGCAGCGACGCCGCGUGAGUGAAGAAGUAUUUCGGUACGUAAAGUUCUAUCAGCAGGGAAGAAAAUGACGGUACCUGACUAAGAAGCCCCGGCUAACUACGUGCCAGCAGCCGCGGUAAUACGUAGGGGGCAAGCGUUAUCCGGAUUUACUGGGUGUAAAGGGAACGUAGACGGCAGCACAAGUCUGGAGUGAAAUCCCGGGGCUUAACCCCGGAACGGCUUUGGAGACUGUGCGGCUGGAGUGCAGGAGGGGUAAGCGGAAUUCCUGGUGUAGCGGUGAAAUGCGUAGAUAUUAGGAGGAACACCGGUGGCGAAGGCGGCUUACUGGACUGUAACUGACGUUGAGGCUCGAAAGCGUGGGGAGCAAACAGGAUUAGAUACCCUUGUAGUC